AGCAAUGGCAGGAGACUGGCAGGAGUGGAGGCAAGGCAAGAGGAUUCGAACUUCAAGAUGGACCUCCUACUCCAAGAAAGUCUGGGUCUACGUAUGUGAUAACUCAGAAGAGGGCAAAUGCUUUGAAAUUGCCCAUGGAAGUGAAGCCUGUGGUCCUCGCAGAGUCACCAGGAGCUGGACAAGAAUCUCUCCUCCCCCAGCUUGAUGAUAGGCUGGACUUGGAGUCUUGUGCCAAAGCAUCAAAUGUAGAAGAGGAACUCUAGUGCAGUUUCUUCACGGUACAGAACACAGCAGACAUUGCCCUAACCAAGUGAUCAAGGUUAACAUCACCAUGUAAGUCAUGCGCUGUCAUGUACUCCCGGAUAUGAUGAGAUAUGAAGGGCACUUCACCUCCGGGGAAUUCUUCCCCCAAUCCCAUCAUCCCUGCCUAAUGAUGAGGAAAACAUUAGACAAACCCAAACUGAGGUACAUUCUACAAUGUCUUGACCAAUACUCUUCAAAACUGUUAAGGUCAUGAAAAAUAAGACUGAGGAAAUGUCUGGAAAGGGAGAGGACUGAGACAUGAAUAUUAAAUACAAUGUGGUAUCCUGGCUCUGAUCCUGGCAUAAUUAAAGGACAUUAGUAGAAAAUUUGGACAGUUAUGUAUAAAGCAGAGAGUUUAGUGUGAUACUGCACCAGUGUGAAUUUCUUAAUUUUUAUAAAUGUGCUGUUGUUUGACAUAAAAUGUUAACAUUAGAGGAACCAAGUGAAGAGUGUACGGGAACUCUGUG